rnacentral:rRNA from 1 species
UACGGGGGGGGUAAGCGUUGCUCGGAAUUACUGGGCGUAAAGCGCACGUAGGCGGCUUUCUAAGUCGGGGGUGAAAUCCUGGAGCUCAACUCCAGAACUGCCUUCGAUACUGGAGAGCUCGAGUCCGGGAGAGGUGAGUGGAACUGCGAGUGUAGAGGUGAAAUUCGUAGAUAUUCGCAAGAACACCAGUGGCGAAGGCGGCUCACUGGCCCGGUACUGACGCUGAGGUGCGAAAGCGUGGGGAGCAAACAGG